rnacentral:rRNA from 1 species
UACGAAGGGGGGCUAGCGUUGCUCGGAAUCACUGGGCGUAAAGGGUGCGUAGGCGGGUCUUUAAGUCAGGGGUGAAAUCCUGGAGCUCAACUCCAGAACUGCCUUUGAUACUGAGGAUCUUGAGUCCGGGAGAGGUGAGUGGAACUGCGAGUGUAGAGGUGAAAAUUCGUAGAUAUUCGCAAGAACACCAGUGGCGAAGGCGGACUCACUGGCCCGAGUACUGACGCUGAGGCACGAAAGCGU